CAACACAAAUUUCAUGUCAACCGUUUUUAACACACAAACUGUGUUGAUUUUACACAAUAUUUUUUACUGUGUAUUUAUUGUAGGUACCCGAUAGUUGGAACACGGGGACAUUCACUCAGAAGCUUAAAGGCCGUAUCUCCAGAGAUAUGUUUUCUCGCAAUUUUCUAGGCGAGUAGUUAGAUGAAAAUGCCGAUCGGUUUGAAAAUUUCGAGUAUGAUUUUUUUAUAUUCAUGACGCCCCUGAAAUUACAUACGAAAUACGAAAAGACAAAUCCCAUGACGCGCAAUAGGUUUAGUUGUGAUACUGAAAAUGGUCUCGUUUCCCGUUCAUCAGGAGGAUCCAUGAGGAAAGUCAAGAAUUCUGAGAGUUUUAGUUUAGAAGCUACCAUAACUGUCGCUUCCGUACUUGGAAUUUAUCGAGACAGUCUUGAUGAUUGUGUUUAUAGAUUUAAAUUUUCGUGGCUUACAAUAACAGAACGUGCUUGGGCCACAUGUACUAAAAAAGCC